UAGUCUCGCACAGAUGCAUAUCAAUAAGCGGAGGAAAAGAAACUAACAAGGAUUCCCCUAGUAACGGCGAGUGAAGCGGGAAGAGCUCAAAUUUGAAAUCUUAAAGGGUUUCCCUUUACGAAUUGUAGUUUAAAGAAGUGUUUUCUGUUGAGGUUUUGGUAAAAGUUCUUUGGAAUAGGACAUCAUAGAGGGUGAGAAUCCCGUAUUUGACCUUUACUUUCAACUUUGUGAUACACUUUCAAAGAGUCGGAUUGUUUGGGAAUGCAGUCCAAAAUGGGUGAUAAAUUUCAUCUAAAGCUAAAUAUUGGCGAGAGACCGAUAGCGAACAAGUACCGUGAGGGAAAGAUGAAAAGAACUUUGAAAAGAGAGUUAAACAGUACGUGAAAUUGUCAAAAGGGAAGCGUUUGACACCAGUGUUGUUUUUCUGAAAAUCAAUUAAAGAACUGUUUAUGCUAAGCUGUUUAGACUUUAUCAGCUAUCUGUUUAGUUUUGAGCUUUUCUUUAAUGCACUUUUCAGUUAACAAGUCAACAUCAAUUUCUUUUGCUGUAAGAAGCUUGAGGAAGGUGGCUUGAGAUUCGUCUUAAGUGUUUAUAGCCUCUUGCCUAUGCAGUCGGAGAGAUUGAGGUCUGCAGCGUAGAUCCUUCGGGGCUAAAUGCAUUUGUGCUAAGUUAUAGCAUUUUAUAGACAACUUGUUGACUAUGAUUUGUCUUGUAGCUUACUCGCUUAUGUUAUUUUACCUACGCUUAGGAUGUUGAUCUGUAGUGCGUGCGC
rnacentral:rRNA from 1 species